rnacentral:tRNA from 1 species
GGGGAUUUGGCUCAGUGGUAGAGCACUUGCCUAGCAAGCGUAAGGUCCUGGGUUCGGUCCCCAGCUCCG